rnacentral:rRNA from 1 species
AAUUAAAAAUUUACUUAUAUUUUUUUUUUAUUUUUAAUUAAUAAAAAUAAUUUUAAUUAUAAAUAUUUUAAGUAAUGUUUAAUGAAAAAAUUUUUUAAGUUAUAGUUUAUUUGUAUUGUAAAAGAUUAUUGAAAUAAAAAUUAAUUAUUUUAAAGUAAAAUUAAGUUUUUGUACCUUGUGUAUCAGGGUUUAUUAAAUAAAAUUUAUAAAUAUUAAUUUUCUCGAAUUUAAGAGGGUAAAUAAAUUAUUUUUUUUAUUGUAAAAUAAAUAUUUAACAUAAUUUAUUAGUAAUGAAAUGUUAUUCGUUCUUAAAAAUAUCUAGUUUAUUUAGAAAUGAAUUUAAUUCAAAUAUUUUAAUUUUAAUAAUUUAAUUUUUAAUAAUUAUUAAAUUUUAAUAUUAAUAAUUAAAGGGAUUAGCUUUUAAUUAAAAUUUUAUAAAUUUAUAUAAAAUAUUUAAAAAAUGUAAGUUUAGAAAUAGCUAUCAAUAGUAAUUUGUUAUAAUUAAUUUAAUUAAUUAAUAUUAUUUUAUAUAAUUUUAAGUUUUUUAUAAAUAAAUAAUUAAUAAUUUUUAUAAUUAGAUAUAAUGAUAAAAUUAGUAUAAUUUUUAAAUUUUUAAAUAAUAUUUUUUAAUAGAUUAUUUAAAGGAAUUCGGCAAAAAUUUUACUCGCCUGUUUAACAAAAACAUGUCCUUUUGAAUUUAAUUUAAGGUCUAGCCUGCCCACUGAAUUGAUUUUUAAAUGGCCGCAGUAAUUUGACUGUGCAAAGGUAGCAUAAUCAUUAGUUUUUUAAUUAAAAGCUUGUAUGAAAGGUUGGACGAGGUAAAAUCUGUCUCUAUUUAAUUUAAGAUAGAAUUUAAUUUUUAAGUUAAAAAGCUUAAAUAAUAUUAAAAGACGAGAAGACCCUAUAGAGCUUUAUAUAAUUAUUAAUAAAUUUAAUUAGGGAUAAUUUAGAUUUUAUUUUUAAUUAUAUUUUAUUGGGGUAAUAGGAAGAUUAAUUUAAUUCUUUUUUAAAAUUAACAUUGAUUUAUGAAUUAAUGAUCCAAUUUUUUUUUUGAUUAUAAGAUUAAGUUACCUUAGGGAUAACAGCGUAAUUUUUUUAGAGAGUUCAUAUCGAUAAAAAAGUUUGCGACCUCGAUGUUGGAUUAAAGAUUAUUUUAGGUGCAGAAGCUUAAAAUUUUGGUCUGUUCGACCAUUAAAUCUUUACAUGAUCUGAGUUCAGACCGGUGUAAGCCAGGUCGGUUUCUAUCUUUAAUAAUUUAAAAAUAUUUUAGUACGAAAGGACCAAAUAUUUAAUAUAUUUAUAUUUUAUUUUUGAAUAUUAUUA